rnacentral:rRNA from 1 species
CCUUAACCUGCUAACUAGUGUUGGUUAUGAAAGUAGCCGUAUACUUCUUAGAGGGACUGACUGCGUAUAGUAGUCGGAAGUUUGAGGCAAUAACAGGUCUGUGAUGCCCUUAGAUGUUCUGGGCUGCACGCGCGCUACACUGACACAGGCAGAGAGUGGACCUUGGCCGAGAGGCCUGGGGAAUCUUGAAAAUGUGUCGUGCUGGGGAUAGAUCAUUGCAAUUAUUGGUCUUGAACGAGGAAUUCCUAGUAAGCGCAAGUCAUCAGCUUGCGUUGAUUACGUCCCUGCCCUUUGUACACACCGCCCGUCGCUACUACCGAUUGAACGGCAUGGUGAGGCCUCUGGAGGUGGGGCUGUGGUUUUGCCAGAGCUUUGCUGAAAUUGGUCAAACUGGGUCGUUUAGAGGAAGUAAAAGUCG